rnacentral:rRNA from 1 species
AUGAACGCUAGCGACAGGCUUAACACAUGCAAGUCGAGGGGCAGCACAGGUAGCAAUACCGGGUGGCGACCGGCGCACGGGUGAGUAACGCGUAUGCAACUUACCUAUCAGAGGGGGAUAACCCGGCGAAAGUCGGACUAAUACCGCAUGAAGCAGGGGCCCCGCAUGGGGAUAUUUGCUAAAGAUUCAUCGCUGAUAGAUAGGCAUGCGUUCCAUUAGGCAGUUGGCGGGGUAACGGCCCACCAAACCGACGAUGGAUAGGGGUUCUGAGAGGAAGGUCCCCCACAUUGGUAUUGAGACACGGACCAAACUCCUACGGGAGGCAGCAGUGAGGAAUAUUGGUCAAUGGGCGUAAGCCUGAACCAGCCAAGUCGCGUGAGGGAUGAAGGUUCUAUGGAUCGUAAACCUCUUUUAUAAGGGAAUAAAGUUCGGGACGUGUCCCGUUUUGUAUGUACCUUAUGAAUAAGGAUCGGCUAACUCCGUGCCAGCAGCCGCGGUAAUACGGAGGAUCCGAGCGUUAUCCGGAUUUAUUGGGUUUAAAGGGUGCGUAGGCGGCCUUUUAAGUCAGCGGUGAAAGUCUGUGGCUCAACCAUAGAAUUGCCGUUGAAACUGGGGGGCUUGAGUAUGUUUGAGGCAGGCGGAAUGCGUGGUGUAGCGGUGAAAUGCUUAGAUAUCACGCAGAACCCCGAUUGCGAAGGCAGCCUGCCAAGCCAUGACUGACGCUGAUGCACGAAAGCGUGGGGAUCAAACAGGAUUAGAUACCCUGGUAGUCCACGCAGUAAACGAUGAUCACUAGCUGUUUGCGAUACAUUGUAAGCGGCACAGCGAAAGCGUUAAGUGAUCCACCUGGGGAGUACGCCGGCAACGGUGAAACUCAAAGGAAUUGACGGAAGGGCG